AGCCCCGGCUAACUACGUGCCAGCAGCCGCGGUAAUACGUAGGGGGCGAGCGUUACCCGGAAUCACUGGGCGUAAAGGGAGCGUAGGUGGCCUAACAUGUCAACUGUGAAAACCCGGAGCUCAACUCCGGACUUGCAGUUGAAACUGGUAGGCUUGAGGACGGUAGAGGAAGACGGAACUGCCAGUGUAGGGGUAAAAUCCUUAGAUAUUGGCAGGAACGCCGGUGACGAAGGUGGUUUUCUGGGCCGGUUCUGACACUGAUGCUCGAAAGCCAGGGGAGCGAACGGGAUUAGAUACCCCGGUAGUCCUGGCCCUAAACGAUGUUCACUAGGUGUGGGGAGCGGAAAGCUCUCCGUGCUAAAGCUAACGCGAUAAGUGAACCGCCUGGGGAGUACGCCCGCAAGGGUGAAACUCAAAGGAAUUGACGGGGACCCGCACAAGCGGUGGAGCGUGUGGUUUAAUUCGAUGCUAAGCGAAGGACCUUACCAAGGUUUGACAUGCUAAUGGUAGUGAAUUGAAAGAGGAACGACCACACUAUGUGUGGAGUUAGCACAGGUGGUGCACGGCCGUCGUCAGCUCGUGUCGUGAGGUGUUGGGUUAAGUCCCGCAACGAGCGCAACCCCUGCUCUUAGUUACCAGCGGUAAGGCCGGGUACUCUAAGAGGACCGCCGCCGACGAGGCGGAGGAAGGGGGGGAUGAAGUCAGGUAUCGUGCCCCUUAUAUCUUGGGCGACACACGCGCUACAAUGGGUUGGACAGAAGGGACCAAGACAGCGAUGUGGAGGAAAUCCUCAAACCAACCCCCAGUUCAGAUUGCAGGCUGAAACCCGCCUGCAUGAAGCCGGAAUCGCUAGUAAUCGCAGAUCAGCCAAGCUGCGGUGAAUACGUUCCCGGGUCUUGUACACACCGCCCGUCAAGCCACCCGAGUUGGUAACACCUGAAGAUGAGUAUCCUAACCGAAAGGAGGGAGCUUGUUUAGGGUGGGAUUGGCAAGGGGGGCUAAGUCGUAACAAGGUAGCCCUACCGGAAGGUGGGGCUG
rnacentral:rRNA from 1 species